GCCAGCGUAGCUCAGGGGCAGAGCAGCUGAUUCGUAAUCAGCAGGUCGGUGGUUCAAAUCCACUCGCUGGCCCCA
rnacentral:tRNA from 1 species